AGGACGAACGCUGGCGGCGUGCUUCACACAUGCAAGUCGAACGGGGCUCAUCCGGUGGCAACACUGGAGAAGGCCUAGUGGCGAACGGGUGAGUAACACGUGAGGAACCUGCCCCGAAGACCGGGAUAACAGCGGGAAACCGCUGCUAAUACCGGAUGCCCCCACCGGGCCGCAUGACCUGGUGAGGAAAUGGGCUUCCGCUUCGGGAGGGUCUCGCGGCCUAUCAGCUUGUUGGUGGGGUAACGGCCCACCAAGGCUACGACGGGUAGCUGGUCUGAGAGGACGACCAGCCACACUGGGACUGAGACACGGCCCAGACUCCUACGGGAGGCAGCAGUGGGGAAUCUUGCGCAAUGGGCGAAAGCCUGACGCAGCAACGCCGCGUGAGGGAUGAAUGCCUUCGGGUUGUAAACCUCUUUCAAGCAGGGACGAUAGUGACGGUACCUGCAGAAGAAGCUCCGGCCAACUACGUGCCAGCAGCCGCGGU
rnacentral:rRNA from 1 species